UACGUAGGGUCCAAGCGUUAUCCGGAAUCACUGGGCGUAAAGCGUGUGUAGGCGGCGUGUUAAGUGCGAUGCGAAAUCCUGUGGCUCAACCAUAUGGACUGUGUCGCAUACUGGCAUGCUAGAGGAUGGCAGAGGCAAGUGGAAUUGGUAGUGUAGCAGUGAAAUGCGUAGAUAUUACCAGGAACACCAAUGGCGAAGGCAGCUUGCUGGGCCAUAUCUGACGCUGAGACACGAAAGCGUGGGGAGCGAACAGG
rnacentral:rRNA from 1 species